rnacentral:misc_RNA from 1 species
GAUGAAGAACGUAGCGAAAUGCGAUACGUAAUGUGAAUUGCAGAAUUCAGUGAAUCAUCGAAUCUUUGAACGCAUAUUGCGCUCUCUGGUAUUCCGGAGAGCAUGCUUGUUUGAGUAUCAGUAAACACCUCAACUUUCCAUAUCUUUUUUGAAAUGGGAGUUGGACUUGAGUGAUCCCAACGCUUUUCCUCACCGAAAAGUGGCGGGUUACUUGAAAUGCAGGUGCAGCUGGACUUUUCUCUGAGCUAUAAGCAUAUCUAUUUAGUCUGCCUAAAAAACAGAUUAUUACCUUUGCUGCAGCUAACAUAAGGGAGAUUAGUUCUUGUGCUGACUGAUGCAGGAUUCACAAAGACAGGCUUCGGCCGACUUUGUAAACUCGAUCUCAAAUCAAGUAAGACUACCCGCUGAACUUAAGCAUAUCAAUAAGCGGAGGA